rnacentral:rRNA from 1 species
GACGAACGCUGGCGGCGUGCUUAACACAUGCAAGUCGAACGGAAAGGCCCUGCUUUUGUGGGGUGCUCGUGUGGCGAACGGGUGAGUAACACGUGAGUAACCUGCCCUUGACUUUGGGAUAACUUCAGGAAACUGGGGCUAAUACCGGAUUGGAGCUCCUGCUGCAUGGUGGGGGUUGGAAAGUUUCGGCGGUUGGGGAUGGACUCGCGGCUUAUCAGCUUGUUGGUGGGGUAGUGGCUUACCAAGGCUUUGACGGGUAGCCGGCCUGAGAGGGUGACCGGCCACAUUGGGACUGAGAUACGGCCCAGACUCCUACGGGAGGCAGCAGUGGGGAAUAUUGCACAAUGGGCGGAAGCCUGAUGCAGCAACGCCGCGUGCGGGAUGACGGCCUUCGGGUUGUAAACCGCUUUCGCCUGUGACGAAGCGUGAGUGACGGUAAUGGGUAAAGAAGCACCGGCUAACUACGUG